CCUACGGGGCGCAGCAGUGGGGAAUAUUGGACAAUGGGCGAAAGCCUGAUCCAGCCAUGCCGCGUGUGUGAAGAAGGCCUUCGGGUUGUAAAGCACUUUCAGUGGGGAAGAAAGCCUUGGGGCUAAUACCCUCGAGGAAGGACAUCACCCACAGAAGAAGCACCGGCUAACUCCGUGCCAGCAGCCGCGGUAAUACGGAGGGUGCGAGCAUUAAUCGGAAUUACUGGGCGUAAAGCGCGCGUAGGCGGUCUGAUAAGCCGGUUGUGAAAGCCCCGGGCUCAACCUGGGAACGGCAUCCGGAACUGUCAGGCUAGAGUGCAGGAGAGGAAGGUAGAAUUCCCGGUGUAGCGGUGAAAUGCGUAGAGAUCGGGAGGAAUACCAGUGGCGAAGGCGGCCUUCUGGACUGACACUGACGCUGAGGUGCGAAAGCGUGGGUAGCAAACAGGAUUAGAUACCCGGGUAGUC
rnacentral:rRNA from 1 species